UUUUCUUUCCAUCAUUUUCUUCUCUGCUUAAGAGUCCUUAAAAGUCCUCCUGAACUCCGAACACGUUUUUACCCAAGGAACUUAUGUUGUCCAGGAUCUAAUCUUAACUGUAAGGGGGAAUUUGUACAAAAUGUCAUAUAAACGUCUAUGAGCUAUCUCAGAGUUUCGUCACUAGGAGUAACUCUCUAUACUAGGAAGCUUUGUGAAUUUGGCCCCCGAUUUGCUUUUUGAGGAAUAGCUUCCAUAUGAUCUUAUUUUUUGAAUUAAAGUAACUCAAUGCCAUGAAAAUACCAAAACAGAACAUGUUAGAUUUCAGAGAUUUUGAGUCAUUUCCAAAUGGGAGAAUAAAGAAGUAGUUAUUCUCUUACCAGGUCUAAAUCAAUAUCAGGGCGUGAUGGUGAUAUUUCGCACUUAGAGUGCCCUGUGACAACAAGCACUCGUCCCUGCUGAAGAGUCCUUGAACAAGACUCUACUGUCUCCAGCUGCUCUGUUGCUGGCCCUGACCUCUGACAGCCAUCAGUGGAUCAGUGGGGAGGGCGACACAGUGAAAAAACUGAAAACCAAACCAGCUAUUUUUGGGGAAGAAAAGAUGUCCUGGCUGAGAGUUACUGGUGACUAUGCCUGUAGUUAUGAACUGGUUUUAAUUUUAAAGCUUUGCAAUAUUGCUCCCAAGUAAACUGAAUUCUUUUCAUGUGUUUGGUUGUUUAUGAUUUGGGAAUCUGUCCUGUUUUCCACCAGUUAAUACGACACACAUUCUGUCCACUCAUCCUUUUUUCUCUCUGUUUCCAUGAUUAUUGUUUUCAUGUCAUUUGAAUCUGCUCAUAAGGUGAACUGGAACAUUGUGCUAAUAGUUUCAUAAACUAUCUGGGAAGCUAUCACUGUAUCUGGGAAGUUUGGAUUCAGCUUUGUGUCCUCCUGCCAUCAUCAAAUGUUUCUCUCGGUUUUAAGUAAGAUGUGUUCAAUAAUCAUGCUGACGGCCAGUUGUAGAUUUUUCCAUGUUUCAUGUUUUUAAUUUCCUUUUACAUUUUUUUUUCAUUUCAGAUCUAUCAUUCCCCAAUUCACAAGCAAGCUGAAAUGGAGCUGAAUGAGUUUGGAUUCAAGUUUGUGCGAAAGUGCAUCAAUUAUGUUGAAACAAAAGGACUCACACAAGAAGGAGUGUACAGAACAGUUGGCAGCAACAUCCAAGUGCAGAAGCUUUUAAAUGCCUUCUUUGGUAAGGAAAUAAGUCUCUGGACGUGUUGUACAUCUGUCCAUUCACUGUGUUUCUUCAAUUGGGCUGGUCGUUCUUUUUGAGUAAAACAAAGCAGGUUCUGCCACUUGAUGACAAGAAUGAAUGACAAAGAAAUAUCAGCAGCCUGCUUACUCUCAGUGCCCCUGAGAGUCCUCCCACCUUAAUGUGGCUGUACAUUGUAUUUUUAUACAAUGGAUCAAAUGGCUAUGCAUUAAAGACUUCGUUUAUAGUGGCAAACUGACAAAGAAUUAUCAGCCGACUGUGCUGGUCCCUUUAGCUCAACUUAGCUUUAAAGAGUCUUUUAACUCAUUGCUUUGAUUUUCAGGCUCUCAACUUCAAUUUAGUUUCUCACCCUGGCUGCUGUCAUAGCAUCGUUUUCAGGAGCAACAGGCAGCUGUUUUCAGUAAAAGAGCUCUGAAAAGCUACAGUACACUAUCUGCUCGGCUCCAAACAGCAGAUGAACAAAAUUAGUGAUGAGCUAGCAGGUGAACAUAGUGCAGCAGUUAGCGACUGGAGAGCCAGAUUUGUGCCUCAGGAGUAUGUAGAGACCAAAAACAGAGCUACAAGAGAGCAAAUAUUAGACUUACAUCCACCAGGUAGACACAAACACAACUCAAAAUCAGUGCUAAUGUUGCUCUGUAUCUGCUGGGUGUAUAAAUAAGCAAUUGUUUGGUAACAAGUUAACCAAAUUAGCGUUAAAGGAGAUAUGUCAGUGAUUUUAUACCUGAGAGGCAUCAGUCAUUGCAGGCCUGAAUUAUAUUUGUUAAAUACUUUUUUGCAGCAGAUAAUUCAACUUCCCAGAGUGGGAAAAGCACAUGUAUAGUGCUAAUGACUGCUCUGUUCUAUUUAAGUGUCCCAGUAAGCCUGGCAGUCAUUUCAUUUCAUUUUAUUUUUAUUUAAAAGGGACAAUGUACAGCUCAAACAUAAAUGUCACCAUUUGAUGCACUGUACCAGAUUAUAGCUUCAAGCUAAUUCGCAUCUGUAGUCCCUUGGCAGGUCACAGUAAAAAAUACAGUACAAUAGCAAAACAGAUAAAAACAGUAUACAAGGAUAGACAGAAA